GGGUAGUCCUAGCCGUAAACGAUGUGAGCUAGGUGUCAGUCACACUGCGAGUGUGGCUGGUGCCGUAGGGAAGCCGUGAAGCUCACCACUUGGGGAGUACGGCCGCAAGGCUGAAACUUAAAGGAAUUGGCGGGGGAGCACCACAACAGGUGGAUGCUGCGGUUUAAUUGGAUACAACGCCGGAAAUCUCACCGGGGGCGACAGCAAUAUGAAGGUCAGGCUGAAGACCUUACCCGAUUCGCUGAGAGGAGGUGCAUGGCCGUCGUCAGUUCGUACUGUGAAGCAUCCUGUUAAGUCAGGCAACGAGCGAGACCCAUGUCCACAAUUGCCAGCAUAUCCUCAGGGAUGAUGGGCACAUUGUGGGGACCGCCUCUGCUAAAAGAGGAGGAAGGAAUGGGCAACGGUAGGUCAGUAUGCCCCGAAUCUCCCGGGGCUACACGCGGCAUACAAUGGACGGGGACAAUGAGUAUCGACCCCGAAAGGGGGAAGGCAAUCCCAUAAA
rnacentral:rRNA from 1 species